GACGAACGCUGGCGGCGUGCUUAACACAUGCAAGUCGAACGGAAGGGCCCUGCUUUUGUGGGGUGCUCGAGUGGCGAACGGGUGAGUAACACGUGAGUAACCUGCCCUUGACUGUGUGAUAACUCCAGGGAACUGGGGCUAAUACCAGAUAUGAGCUCCUGCUGCAUGGUGGGGGUUGGAAAGUGUCGGCGGUGGUGGAUGGACUCGCUGCUUAUCCGCUUGUUUGGCGGGUAGUGGCUUACCAAGGCUUUGACGGGUAGCCGGCCUGAGAGGGUGACCGGCGACAUUGGGACUGAGAUACGCACCAGAAUGCUAUGGGAGGCAACAGUCGAGAGUAUUGCAGAAUGGGCGGAAGCGUGAUGCAGAGACGCUGCGUGCGGGAUGACGGCCUUCGAGUUGUAAACCGAUUUCGACUGUGACGAAGCGUGCGUGACGGUAAUGGGUAAAGAAGCAACGGCUAACUACGUG
rnacentral:rRNA from 1 species